rnacentral:misc_RNA from 1 species
UUUCCGUAGGUGAACCUGCGGAAGGAUCAUUACCGAGUUUUCGGGCUUCGGCUCGACUCUCCCACCCUUUGUGAACGUACCUCUGUUGCUUUGGCGACUUCGGCCGCCAAAGGACCUUCAAACUCCAGUCAGUAAACGCAGACGUCUGAUAAACAAGUUAAUAAACUAAAACUUUCAACAACGGAUCUCUUGGUUCUGGCAUCGAUGAAGAACGCAGC